rnacentral:rRNA from 1 species
UAGCAGAGGUCUCAAGCGUUUGUUCGGGAUUCAUUGGGCGUAAAGGGUGCGUAGGCGGCGCGGUAAGUCGGGUGUGGAAAUCCUUGGAGCUUAACUCCGAAACUGCAUUCGAUACUGCCGUGCUUGAGGACUGGAGAGGAGACUGGAAUUUACGGUGUAGCGGUGAAAUGCGUAGAUAUCGUAAGGAAGACCAGUGGCGAAGGCGGGUCUCUGGACAGUUCCUGACGCUGAGGCACGAAGGCCCAGGGGGAGCAAACGGG